AAGCCAUUAUGCGGGCAAUCUCUUACCAACCUUUUAAAACUUUCCCAGGUGUCACUGAGUGAUUUGUCAAUAUCCUGUUCAAAAUUAGUGAUCAACUUCCUCCUACU